rnacentral:rRNA from 1 species
AUUGAACGCUGGCGGCAUGCCUACACAUGCAAGUCGAACGAGCGGCGAACGGGUGAGUAAUGCCUCGGAAUGUGCUUGGUAGCGGGGGAUAACUACCGGAAACGGUGCUAUACCGCAUACUAUUGGAUCGGCCGAGGUCGGAUAAGCUAGUUGGUGGGGUAAAGGCCCACCAAGGCGACGAUCCGUAGCUGGUUUGAGAGGAUGACCAGCCACACUGGAACUGAGACACGGCCCAGACUCCUACGGGAGGCAGCAGUGGGGAAUAUUGGACAAUGGGCGAAACCCUGAUCCAGCCAUGCCGCGUGUGGGAAGAAGGCUUCGGAUUGUAAAGCACUUUUAGCAGGAAGGCGGUACCUGCAGAAUAAGCACCGGCUAACUUCGUGCCAGCAGCCGCGGUAAUAC